AGGAAGACAACACAGCACAACAGGAAGCGGAGCCUCUAACCGUUCACCUCAGGCAGUGGUCAGAGGAGAAGAGUUUAUACAGUUUGAGUCAGUCUGAGAAGGAGGACACCACCUGAGCUCUGCCCCGCAAUGAGCCUCUGAGAGCGGCACCACCCGGUCUGGACGGCCGCGGGAGGAGGACGGUGCAGGUACCAGGUAUGUGUCUUUAUGCCUACGUUUUAAAACUGAGGGUCAAGAGAUAAAACACUGAGUGACUGUCAGUUUGCUCUUCAGUGGUCACCCAUUUGGACAGAAAUGGCUACUUUUUGUUAAAGUUUGUACACUUUAUUUACGUUUUAUUUACCUUUACAGAGUGAAACAUGAGUUCACUUGUUUUCAGCUGGUUGUAGUAAUGGUUGUUGUCGUGGGCAGACUUGUUUAUUGCAGUGUGUCCUCUACAUUCCCUGCUCAGGUCAGGAUCAGGUCAUGAGGGCAUACCUGGGAACAGCUCACCUGUAGAAGAUUAACCACACACUGUUUAAAGAUCCUGGUCUGGUUAUUUGAGUUUUAUUUUGAAAUAGUAAAACCAAACUUGAAAUACAGCUUAAUUUUCUUUUUUGUUGUCUGGAACAAGUAAGGAAAAGUCACAUAGGCCUAACGGUUUAAUUUUCAAUUUUCAUUUCUAAAAAGGAAAUAGAUAUCAAGCUGUGUUUCAAGUUUGUUUCUUUCCAAACGUUAUAUCCAACUACAAAAAGAGACACAGACCUCUGAUCCCAAUUUAUACGGCCACAGUUUCUCAUCAGUUUUUUUUUAGACUUUUGUCUGCAGCUGAAUAAAUCAGUGAUGUUUUUUAAUCAUGUCUAAAAGACUCCUGACUGAAUGAGUCUGCAGGGUGCAUCACCUCCACCCUGGACUGCAGCUCUAGAGACGCUCAUUUCUACACCAACAUCCUCCUUUUCACAUUUUUCACCACAGAGUAAGUUUCUCUAAGCAGCUUAUGUCACAGACUGCCGCAAAAACCAAAUCCAUUCAGGUUGUGGGUGAAAAAGCUCUGAUGGAUUCAGCUGAGUUUCAGGACAUGAAGGUUCAGGGCCGGCUGGUGGAUUUUGGUGGCCCUAAGCAAGAUUUUGUUUGGUUGCCCCCCAAUACCCCCCCCCCCCCCCAUUAUUGGUUGUGGUCCUCCAUUUUGUUGCAUUUUAAACAGAUGAUGACUUCAUGAUGGGAUAUCGUGAGCUUCUAGAUCGUCUAGAGUCUAGACAAGAGGUGGGCAACUUUGAUGAUGGGGAGUUCCACCAUAUUUCCACACUCAUUCCAGGAGGCCAUAUUACAUAGACUGUCGGUCCAUUUGAUGUCACAGAAAAGUUGCAAAAAUAGCCGAUCUACAAGCUCCCUGGGCAGUCAGUUGUAUGGUCUAGAUCAGUGGUUCUCAAGUCCAGUCCUCGAGCCUCCACUGUCCUGCAUGUUUUGUAUGUUUCCCUGCUCCAACACACCUGAUUCGAAUGAUAAGCUCGUUAUCAAGCUCUGUAAUGGCUUACUAACGAGCUGAUCAUUCGAAUCAGGUGUGUUGGAGCAGGGAAACAUCCAAAACAUGCCGGACAGUGGGCCUUGAGGACUGGACUUGAGAACCACUGGGCUAGAACUAGCUAGCUAGUUAUUUUUGUCUUCCUUUUGGGGGGUGAUGUGGCCCCUCCCAUUGGUUGUGGCCCUAAGCGACCGCUUAUAUUGCUUAUUGCACGGGCCGGCCUUGUGAAGGUUUCCUGAAAACUGAUGCCUCACUUGCAGAAAAAAUGCGUCAGGUCUAAAGGUUUAAAAUCUUGAAGUAUCUGUUAGUGUUUAUGCUUUAUGACAGUAAAUGAAAACACUCAGAGCUAUUAUGACUGAUAAAAUGAUCCAAAGAUGACUGUACAUUGGACACUUGGCUCUCUCACCAGGAAAUCAGCUAACCCUCUGACUUUUAUUGCAGAUUGUUCUAGUAAAAAAAACUUUGCUAGAUUUUUUUUUGUUUAGGUCAUUAAAUGUUUCUGGACCCGGUCAGUCCUAUGCUGAAAAUAUUGACCCAGUUUUUUUAUAUUUUAAAAAUAAAGUUGCAGACCAACCCACCUGUAUGUUUUUGCUCUUUUAUGAAGUUUUUGUCUUUUGAGCGUCUCUCUGCAAACAAAGGGAGUUCUUUUCAGGGUACAUACCUCCCAUCUGUGCUGCAGUUUGAGGAAAUCAGGUGAUUGAAUAACGAAUGUGGUUUUUAUGAAACUGAAGCUGAUGUUCUGCAAUUUCCUGUGCAAAACUAUUCUCUGAAUAAUCUCUUUACAGGUCCCUCUGGUGUCAUGAUCACAGUACAGAAACAGAGAUGUGUGUUUCCUCUGCAGGUGAAGGGGUGUGAGCUGACUUAGCAUGAAUCAGUGUGAGGUUAAAGAAGAGGGGGUCCUUGCCUCUAAAACAGCUCUGUGUAUGGAUCCUGAACCAGAGCCAGAACCAGAGCCAGAACCCAGCUGUCUGUCCUGUAGGAGUGACAAUUCAAAGGACCACUUUUACGACUUUAAACAGCAAGAUUUAUGCAGUAAAAACAGAAAUAAAAGGCAAGAGAAGUAUGUUUUAUUACACAUCCAUAUCUUCCAGAUUAAUCUCACUCAUAUUGAAAUAUUUCAGGACUUUUUGAUGAUUACGGCUCACAGCUCAUGAAAAUCAAAAAUCCUCUAUCAGAACUGGACAUCUACAAAAUAAUCGGAUGUUUUUAAAUGAUAGACUUUUGAUCUUUGUGCGCUGUGAACCGUAUUCAUUAGAAUUUAAACACAAAGUCAACCCUUUGUUUAAUGAAUCUGAAUCUUUCAGGACAUUGUAACUUUUUGAGCUGCACCAUAGGAGAAGUGUUCAUAUUACCCGGUUAAUUGUUAAUUCAUGGUCACACUGGUCUUCCUCUUUGUUGAACAGGGUUAAUAUGAGACCAGACUCUGCUGAAACUGGACCCAGCUGUGUGUCCCUACAGAGUAACAAGUCAAAGGACCACUUCACUGACUUCAAGAAACAACAUAUAUGGAGUGAAAACAAAAUCAGAAGAAAAACAAAGUGAGACAGUUAACUUCAGAAUAUGCUUCAAUGUUUAUAUUACAAAACCCAAGUCCAUUGAAGUUGGGAAGUUGUGAUAAACGUAAAUGAAAACAGAAUACAAUAAUUUGUAAAUCCUUUUCAACCUUUAUUGAACUGAAUACACUACAAAGACAAGAUAUUUAAUGUUCAAACUCAUAAACUUUAUUUUAUUUUUAUCUUUUGGAAAUAAUAACUUUGAAUUUGGUAACUGCAACACGUGACAAAGUAGUUGGGACAGGGGCAUGUCUACCACUGUGUUACAUCACCUUUCCUUUUAACAACACUCAAUAAAUGUUUAUGAACUGAGGAGACUAAUUGUUGAAGCUUUGAAGGUGGAAUUCUUUCCCAUUCUUGCUUGAUAUACAGCUUCAGUUGUUCAACAGUCCGGGGUCUCCGUUGUCGUAUUUUACGCUUCAUAAUGUGCCACACAUUUUCAAUGGGAGACAGGUCUGGACUGCAGGCAGGCCAGUCGAGUACCUGCACUCUUUUACUACGAAGCCACGCUGUUGUAACACGUGCAGAAUGUGGCUUGGCAUUGUCUUGCUGAAAUAAACAGGAAGGGCGUCCAUGAAAAAGACGUUGCUUGGAUGGCAGCAUAUGUUGCUCCAAAACCUGUAUGUACCUUUCAGCAUUAAUGUUGCCUUCACAGAUGUGUAAGUUACCCAUGCCUUGGGCACUAAUUCACCCCCAUACCAUCACAGAUGCUGGCUUUUGAACUUUGCAUUGAUAACAGUCCUGACGGUUCUUUUCCUCUUUGGCCUGGAGGACACGACGUCCACUAUUUCCAAAAACAAUUUGAAAUGUGGACUCGUCAGACCACAGAACACUUUUCCACUUUGCAUCAGUCCAUCCUAGAUGAGCUCGGGCCCAGAGAAGCCGGCAGCAUUUCUGGAUGUUGUUGAUAAAUGGCUUUCACUUUUCAUAGUAGAGUUUUAACUUGCACUUACAGAUGCAGCGACGAACUGUAUUUACUGACAGUGGUUUUCUGAAGUGUUCCUGAGCCCAUGUGGUGAUAUCCUUUACACAUCGAUGUCAGUUUUUGAUACAGUACUGCCUGAGGGAUCGAAGGACACGGGCAUUCAAUGUUGGUUUCCGGCUGUUCCGCUUACAUGCAGUGAUUUCUCCAGAUUCUCUGAACCUUUUUAUGAUAUUAUGGACCGUAGAUGUUGAAAUCCCUAAAUUCCUUGCAAUUGUACUUUAAGAGACGUUGUUCUUCAGCUGUUCGACUAUUUGCUCACGCAGUUGUUCACAAAGUGGUGAACCUCGCCCCAUCCUUGCUUGUGAAUGACUGAGAAUUUUGGGGGAAGCUGCUUUUAUACCCAAUCAUGGCACCCACCUGUUCCUAAUUAGCCUGCUCACCUGUGGGAUGUUCCAAAUAGGUGUUUGAUGAGCAUUCCUCAAAUUUCUCAGUAUUUUUUGCCACCUUUCCCAACUUCUUUGUCACGUGUUGCUGCCACGAAAUUCUGAGUUGAUUAUUAUUUGCAAAAAACAAUAAAGUUUAUGAGUUUGAACAUUAAAUAUCUUGUCUUUGUAGUGUAUUCAAUUAAAUAUAGGUUGAAAAGGAUUUGAAAAUCAUUGUAUUCUGUUUUUAUUUACGUUUAUCACAAUUUUCCAACUUCAAUGGAAUUGGGUUUUGUAUACAGUGAAUUUCCAUCAUACUGUGUCUCUCUCCAACAGGAGACCAGACUCUGCUGAAGCUCAACCCUGCUGUGUUUCCUGCAGGAGUUCACAGUCCAUGAGCAGUGCUCUGCUGUUUAAAGGACAAUGUUGCUCAAAAACUGGG
rnacentral:lncRNA from 1 species